GCACCGCGGAGGAGGCGGCCCUGGCGCGGGGAAGCAGUGGGAAAAUCGCAAGGAAGCCGGCGCUGCUCUGAAGGGAGAGUCUGUGCAGUGGCACCUGCGCGAAGCUGGCCAAAGCCUGCCCAGACGGCUCACCUGUGCGGGAUGGAACAAAAGGUCGGCUUGAGGUUUGCGAGUCCCAGCUCCCACUGCCCCUGCCACCUGCCUUUCCCUUCUCAGGACAUACACAGGACUGGGAGAAAAUAGACUAAGUAUUUGAUAUUACAGUAUUGUUAGGUUUUUAUAUGUGCGGUAUCUUAGGAGGGAACAGAAAGCAGCAGACACACCACUGACGAUGGCUUCCAGUGUGGCAGGGGCCAAAGCCCUUGCUCUGUGGCUCCAGGGGCAGCCUGUGCAGGCCCAGCCUGGGGCCACUCAUGCUCCCCAGCCCCACACGAGGCCCAUCCCGUCUCAGCAUAGGCUUCCUUCUUUCCACUGUUCCUGGAGACCCAGCAGGCUGUCAUGGGCCUUUGGUCCCUACACAGUCCACUCCAGUGGCCACCAGGCUUCUGCAGCCAUCAUUUCCCAUGUGCACGUGGGAAAGAACUAGGCCAGGCUUCUAAGUUAUCUAGACCUUCCUUUUUUUUUUUUUUUUUUUUUUUUUUUGAGACACAGUCUCACUGUGUCGCCCAGGCUGGAGUGCAAGUGGUACGAUCUCAGCUCACUGCAACCUCUGCCUCCUGGGUUCAAGUGAUUCUCUGCCUCAGCCUUCCAAGUAGCUGGGAUUACAGGUGCACACCAACACACCCAGCUAAUUUUUGUAUUUUUAAUAGCGAUGGGGUUUCACCAUGUUGGCCAGGAUGGUCUCGAACUCCUGAUCUCAAGUGAUCCGCCCACCUCAGCCUCCCAAAAUGUUUGGAUUACAGGCAUGAGCCACCACCCCUGGCCUGGACCCUCUUUUUGACAUGUGUGAGCAUAGGCAGCAAGCAAG
rnacentral:lncRNA from 1 species